CCGAUCUCCUUCCUACCCCUCGCCUAAGAUCGUCUGACGUCUUGCCUGACACCUUUCGUUGUGUUGGUGCUCUGCGGCUGCUGUCACUGUAGAAGUUAGGUUGUGUGUGUAAAAAAAACGUAAACAGUGUUGUUGGCUGAUCAAGUGCGGUAAGUUUUUUAAUUAUUUAGUUCUUAAUUUAACGUAAGUAAGUGCCAUUUUAGCAAAAGUAAGUAGUAGAAGUCCUGCCCAAUGCAUGCUGGCUCCGUCGGAAGCGUUACGUGCAUGUACCGGUGUAGGAAAGUGGUGUGGUGAACAACACAGCACAAGACAGCGGAUAUAAUGAAGAAACGAUAUGGGCCUGCCGCAGGUGUUUGCGAUUGUACGUUGCGUUGUAUAUGAUUCGCCAAUUUUCCUCUAUCCUGGAACGUGGGCUUACGAGGAACCAUUUAAGAACAUCCUCCGGAAGCUGUACGGCGACGAGUCGGGCUCUACCAGCACAUCACGCUAGAAGCCCAGCCGGCACCGGGUGCCCCGAUUGCGCCGUGAGACGGUGUCGAGCGCGCUCGUUAAUAACGUUCGGGGCAGGAAUUCAACCCUUCGGAUCAUUAUCCUCUGCCUCACAAUAGCUGCAGCAGCAUCAGGACCGAACCGACCGCACUACUGAUUGCGGUCGAAUUUCCUGGCAGGAGAAAAAAACCCCACGAGUGUAUCGAUUUCAUCGUGGCACCAACAUGUCACUGAAUAACCCCGGAAAGGCGACAAACACUCAUCUCCAGUGGCAAAUUGUUAUCGUGAAUCCACUUCCGCACAUCUACACGACAUUACAUUAAUAGUGGUAUAGUGUUAAUUGGAAAAAAAACUUGAUGUAAACGAGUUAAGUUUAAUCUUAAGUGCGCUUUAAGGCAUAAAUUGAUAUGCCUAUUUUUAAGUAAAGUGUUUUGAAAUGCGCGUGUGUGUGAAGGGGCGGAAUAAGCGCUAAUUUUGCCCCGUGGUCUUGAGGGGCCCCAAAAAUGGAACCCACCCCCCGCUCGCAGGUUAAAUUGCUACUCAAUCCUUCUCUAGUCUAUAACAUUUCCCUGCUAGACGCUUAAACCAAGCCUACAUUUGUGUGACUACUUAGGGCCUAAACUUGUAUGUGCGGCUUUUACACAUCAUUUAAGAUAAAUAAAUCUAGUUUAUAUUCUCAUAAA